rnacentral:rRNA from 1 species
CCUACGGGGGGCAGCAGUGAGGAAUAUUGGUCAAUGGGCGAGAGCCUGAACCAGCCAAGUCGCGUGAAGGAUGACUGUCUUAUGGAUUGUAAACUUCUUUUGUAGGGGAAUAAAGAGGGGCACGUGUGCCUCAGUGAAUGUACCCUACGAAUAAGCAUCGGCUAACUCCGUGCCAGCAGCCGCGGUAAUACGGAGGAUGCGAGCGUUAUCCGGCUUUAUUGGGUUUAAAGGGUGCGUAGGCGGCCUGUUAAGUCAGCGGUGAAAUCUAGGAGCUUAACUCCUAAAUUGCCAUUGAUACUGGCGGGCUUGAGUGUAGAGGAGGUAGGCGGAAUGCGUGGUGUAGCGGUGGAAUGCAUAGAUAUCACGCAGAACUCCGAUUGCGAAGGCAGCUUACUAAGGUACAACUGACGCUGAAGCACGAAAGCGUGGGUAUCAAACAGGAUUAGAUACCCCGGUAGUC